UACGUAGGUGGCAAGCGUUAUCCGGAAUUAUUGGGCGUAAAGCGCGCGUAGGCGGUUUUUUAAGUCUGAUGUGAAAGCCCACGGCUCCAACCGUGGAGGUCAUUGGAAACUGGAAAACUUGAGUGCAGAAGAGGAAAGUGGAAUUCCAUGUGUAGCGGUGAAAUGCGCAGAGAUAUGGAGGAACACCAGUGGCGAAGGCGACUUUCUGGUCUGUAACUGACGCUGAUGUGCGAAAGCGUGGGGAUCAAACAGGAUUAAUACCCGUGUAGUCC
rnacentral:rRNA from 1 species